rnacentral:lncRNA from 1 species
UUUCAUUUGCUCUGUCUACUGUAGCUUAUGUUGCUUGAAAACCAUUGAAAACCAAGAAGAUGACUAUUUCCCAUCAGGCUGUUUGUCACAUUUUUCAUUCUAAAAUGAGAAUAGGAGGAAAGGUUUCAGUCCAGCGUUACACUUCCACAGCAGUAGAUAGGUGGUGCCCUUCAGCCCAGGCACACACUUUGGAGUUGAAGAUGCCCAGGAACCGCUCCAUAAUGAACUGUUCUAGAAUCACGGAGACUGACUGCUCCUAUAAUAGGUAAG